rnacentral:rRNA from 1 species
UACGGAGGGGACUAGCGUUGUUCGGAAUUACUGGGCGUAAAGCGCGCGUAGGCGGAUUUGCAAGUCGGGGGUGAAAUCCCGAGGCUCAACCUCGGAACUGCAGUCGAUACUGCUGUGACUCGAGUCCGGUAGAGGGGAAUGGAAUUCCCGGUGUAGCGGUGAAAUGCGCAGAUAUCGGGAGGAACACCAGUAGCGAAGGCAGCCAUCUGGACCGACACUGACGCUGAGGCGCGAAAGCGUGGGGAGCAAACAGG